CCUACGGGUGGCAGCAGUGAGGAAUAUUGGUCAAUGGGCGCGAGCCUGAACCAGCCAAGUCGCGUGAGGGAAGACGGUCCUAUGGAUUGUAAACCUCUUUUGUCGGGGAGCAAAAGACGCCACGCGUGGCGGUCCGAGAGUACCCGAAGAAAAAGCAUCGGCUAACUCCGUGCCAGCAGCCGCGGUAAUACGGAGGAUGCGAGCGUUAUCCGGAUUUAUUGGGUUUAAAGGGUGCGCAGGCGGAAGAUCAAGUCAGCGGUAAAAUUGAGAGGCUCAACCUCUUCGAGCCGUUGAAACUGGUUUUCUUGAGUGAGCGAGAAGUACGCGGAAUGCGCGGUGUAGCGGUGAAAUGCUUAGAUAUCACGAAGAACUCCGAUUGCGAAGGCAGCCUACUAAACUGCCACUGACAUUGAUGCUCGAAAGUGUGGGUAUCGAACAGGAUUAGAUACCCCAGUAGUC
rnacentral:rRNA from 1 species